AAGGCCCCCAGAGAAAAGCCCAGCCAGCCUGCCCUCGGGCAGCCCCGGCAGGGACCCACCGAUGAGGCGCAGAUGGCUGCUGCAGCAGCCCUGGCCCGACUGGAGCAGAAGCAGCCCAGGGCCCGGGGCCCCACGUCGCAGGACUCCAUCCGGAACCAGGUGAGAAAGGAGCUGCAGGCUGAAGCGACUGUCAGCGGAAGCCCGGAGGUCCCCAGCACCAACAUGGUAACUGAGCCCAAAGAGGAAGGCUCAACCCACCUGGCUGUGCCCGGCGUGUAUUUCACCUGCCCGCUCACAGGGGCCACUCUGAGGAAGGACCAACGGGAUGCCUGCAUUAAAGAGGCCAUUCUCUCGCACUUUUCCACGGACCCAGUGGCUGCCUCCAUCAUGAAGAUCCACACAUUCAACAAAGACCGGGACAGGGUGAAGCUGGGCGUGGACACCAUCGCCAAGUACCUGGACAACAUCCACCUGCAUCCCGAGGAAGAGAAGUACCGGAAGAUCAAGCUGCAGAACAAGGUGUUCCAGGAGCGCAUUAACUGCCUGGAAGGCACCCACGAGUUUUUUGAGGCCAUUGGGUUCCAGAAAAUGAUGCUUCCAGUUCCUGAUCAGGAGGGUGCUGAGGAGUUCUACGUGCUGAGCGAGGCCAUCCUGGCCCAGCCCCAGAGCCUGGAGAGGCACAAGGAGCAGCUACUCAGCGCUGAGCCUGUGCGGGCCAAGCUGGACAGGCAGCGCCGGGUCUUCAGGCCCUCGCCCCUGGCCUCACAGUUCGACCUGCCCGUGGACUUCUUCAGCCUCACGGCGGAGGAGAUCAAGCGGGAGCAGAGGCUCAGGUCUGACGCUGUGGAGCGGCUGAGCGUGCUGCGCACCAAGGCCAUGCGAGAAAAAGAGGAGCAGAGGGAGCUGCGCAAGUAUACCUACACACUGCUGCGCGUGCGCCUCCCAAACGGCUGCCUGCUGCAGGGGACCUUCUAUGCACGGGAGCGGCUGCCGGCGCUCUAUGCGUUUGUCCGGGAGGCUUUGGAGAAUGAUUGGCUGCCUUUUGAGCUUCUGGCUUCCGGAGGGCAGAAGUUGUCGGAGGACGAGAACCUGGCCUUGAACGAGUGCGGGCUGAGCUAGCGAGCUGCCGUCCAUGUCCUCAGCUCCAACCUGCAUAGACAAGGUGUAUGGCCAUCAGCAGGGCAGGCAACAGGGGAGACCCCUGCACUGGGCCUGGGCGGUGACUGUGUCACAGGCCUCUGCAGGGUGAGACUCCUCCUUUCCUCCCUCCCCACAAUGAGAUGCUUCCGACCAACCUCCUUGACCCAAUGUGGCAACAAAUUCUCCAGGCUUGAGAAGUUUGAGAGCCUAUGACCAGAGGAAAACGUCGGGGGUUCUCCAGAAUGAACUGAACUCACAUCUCCAAAAGCUACUGCUAUUACUACCUACCUUAUUACAGAAGUGACCUAUCCAAGUGCUGCUGAGGAGGGUUGUUGCACCUUCAGCAUGGAGGACCUGCUCCCAGGAUGUCCCAAGGAGACAGGUCCUUCCCUGAAGUGCCUGCUGUGCCCGCCCAAACUCCCCCAAAGUAUGGUUCUGGGACACUUUGCAUCAGAUUCCCUGAGGGAGAAGAAAAACGGAGCAGUGCUCGGGAAACGCGGGACAAGAUGCCACAUAUCAUAACAGGAGACAGAGCAACCACAGCACGCAAGACUGGAGUGGGAAGAUGAGGAGACCCCGACGGAACACACAAGGGGUACAGCGGUUCCCCAGGGAGAGCUGAUGGGGACCAAGGCCCAUGAACACCAUGUGGAUGAUACAAAGGUUGUCUUCCAGCCUGGUCAUUUUCU